AUCUAUACGGUGAAACUGCGAAUGGCUCAUUAAAUCAGUUAUCGUUUAUUUGAUAGUACCUUACUACUUGGAUAACCGUGGUAAUUCUAGAGCUAAUACAUGCUAAAAACCUCGACUUCGGAAGGGGUGUAUUUAUUAGAUAAAAAACCAAUGCCCUUCGGGGCUCCUUGGUGAUUCAUAAUAACUUAACGAAUCGCAUGGCCUUGUGCCGGCGAUGGUUCAUUCAAAUUUCUGCCCUAUCAACUUUCGAUGGUAGGAUAGUGGCCUACCAUGGUUUCAACGGGUAACGGGGAAUUAGGGUUCUAUUCCGGAGAGGGAGCCUGAGAAACGGCUGCCACAUCCAAGGAAGGCAGCAGGCGCGCAAAUUACCCAAUCCCGACACGGGGAGGUAGUGACAAUAAAUACUGAUACAGGGCUCUUUUGGGUCUUGUAAUUGGAAUGAGUACAAUUUAAAUCCCUUAACGAGGAACAAUUGGAGGGCAAGUCUGGUGAAAAACAAGUCCAAUACAUUUGAGAUGUAAUGCUGACGCCAGAAAUAGCGGUCAUCGAACUGCUAGUCGAGCACCUGUCAGUGAUAGGUGGGUGCCGGCAAGACAACCUGGAUCGGGGAAAGCUAAGGGCUUUUUAUAGCCUAUGCUAAUCCCGAGCGGAGCACCUGGGAGCAAUCCUAGACUGCCCGUGUAGAGCGCGGAAAGGUGUCGGUCGGCUGUAUCUAGACACAGCCGGCUUGAGGUACGUGCCAUACCCACGGGAAACCGUGCUGUUUAUCGGAGCCCCUAUCAGGCGAAGACGACAGAGAGCUAUGAAGCUCUGGAAUAGAAUAGGCCAGCAGCCGCGGUAAUUCCAGCUCCAAUAGCGUAUAUUAAAGUUGUUGCAGUUAAAAAGCUCGUAGUUGAACCUUGAGCCUGGCUGGCCGGUCCGCCUCACCGCGUGCACUGGUCCGGCCGGGUUUUUCCUUCUGGGGAGCCGCAUGCCCUUCACUGGGUGUGUCGGGGAACCAGGACUUUUACUUUGAAAAAAUUAGAGUGUUCAAAGCAGGCCUAUGCUCGAAUACAUUAGCAUGGAAUAAUAGAAUAGGACGUGUGGUUCUAUUUUGUUGGUUUCUAGGACCGCCGUAAUGAUUAAUAGGGAUAGUCGGGGGCAUCAGUAUUCAAUUGUCAGAGGUGAAAUUCUUGGAUUUAUUGAAGACUAACUACUGCGAAAGCAUUUGCCAAGGAUGUUUUCAUUAAUCAGUGAACGAAAGUUAGGGGAUCGAAGACGAUUAACCGUACGCCCUUAGGGGUAUCUGGUCGUCGAAAGUAGCUGGAAAGCUAGCUAGUCUGCUCGGCAGGCAACACCGUCAAACUGCGGGGACACCCUAAAGGCUCUACUACACCCUUCCGCUGGAAACAGCGUUAGGUCGUAAAAGCGUAGAGUAUGAUCAGGCUUUGGCUUGUGAAAUGGGCAAUCCGCAACCAAGUCCUACCGUGUCUUCGGGCACUAUGGAUGCAGUUCACAGACUAGACGUCGGUGGGUUCCAUAGAACUUAAGAGAUAGUCGAGCACUCGCUGAAAGGCUUGUGACAAAUGCAGAUACCGUCGUAGUCUUAACCAUAAACUAUGCCGACUAGGGAUCGGGCGAUGUUAUUUUUUUGACUCGCUCGGCACCUUACGAGAAAUCAA
rnacentral:rRNA from 1 species